AACCUCGAGUAAAAUCAAAACGAACAUAUAUACGGUUAUUGGUUUUAUUACAGUGGCAGGAUUUGUUCAGAAUAUAUAUUUUUUUGUACUUGCUAACUGGUUGAAGUUACUCACGUGUUGCAUUCAACGAUUUAGAAACCUGGAAAUAUACGAGUUUCCUAGUUCCGAAGAGCACUUGAACGCGGCACAAGGAGCGACACAAAUCUUUGACGUCGUCGUGCAAGAGAAGGAAGCUCCAGUAGGGUGUAAAACCCUUGAUUCAACAGACACAUCCAUUGUAAGUGUCAAGACAAGCCAGAAAACUCAGGAGGUUGAUGUGUUGUGGGCCGUCCGUAAAGUCCUAAAAUAUGUCCCUGAGGAUGCAAAAUCUGACCCAUCACACCACUCUUCAAGAGGGCCACUAUGCUCCAGAUUGUCUUCUGUCCUCAGAGGUCCUUGUUGAGGAUCUACCCUAUCAUACCACUCAUAUUGUUCAUUAAUAAAAAUAAAACAAUGGGCCUUUA